AGAUAGAUAGAUAGAUAGAUAUAGAAGAUAGAUAGAAGAUAGAAGAUAGAUAGAUAGAUAGAUAGAUAGAUAUAUAGAAGAGAUAUAGAUAGAUAUGGAUAGAUAGAUAUAGAAGAGAUAUAGAUAGAUAGGUAUAUAUAUAAGAUAGAUAGAUAGAUAGAUAGAUAUAGAAGAGAUAUAGAUAGAUAGAUAUAGAAGAGAUAUAGAUAGAUAUAGAAGAGAUAUAGAUAGAUAGAUAUAGAAGAGAUAUAGAUAGAUAGGUAUAUAUAGAAGAUAGAUAGAUAGAUAGAUAUAGAAGAGAUAUAGAUAGAUAUAGAAGAGAUAUAGAUAGAUAGAUAUAGAAGAGAUAUAGAUAGAUAGAUAUAGAAGAGAUAUAGAUAGAUAGAUAUAGAAGAGAUAUAGAUAGAUAGAUAUAGAAGAGAUAUAGAUAGAUAGAUAUAUAUAUAU